GCCAGGCAUGGUGGCAUGUGCCUGUAGUCCCAGCUACUCAAGAGGCUGAUGUGGGAGGAUCUCUAGAGCCCAGGAGUUCUGGGCUGUAGUACACUAUGUCGAUUGGGUGUCUUCACUAAGUUCAGCAUCAAUAUGGUGACCUCCCGGGAGUGGGGGACCACCAAGUUGCCUAAGGAGGGGUGAACUGGCCCAGGUCAGAAACAGAGCAGGUCAAAACUCCCGUGCUGAUCAGUAGUGGGAUCACGCCUGUGAAUAGCCACUGCACUCCAGCCUGGGCAACAUAACGAGACCCCAUCUCU
rnacentral:SRP_RNA from 1 species